GAUGAACGCUGGCGGCGUGCCUAAUACAUGCAAGUCGAGCGAACAGACGAGGAGCUUGCUCCUCUGACGUUAGCGGCGGUCGGGUGAGUAACACGUGGAUAACCUACCUAUAAGACUGGGAUAACUUCGGGAAACCGGCGCUCAUACCGGAUAAUAUAUUGAACCGCACGGUUCAAUAGUGAAAGACGGUUUUGCUGACACUUAUAGCUGGAUCCGCGCCGCAUUAGCUAGUUGGUAAGGUAACGGCUUACCAAGGCAACGAUGCGUAGCCGACCUGAGAGGGUGAUCGGCCGCACUGGAGCUGAGACGCGCGCCAGCCUCCGGAGGGAGGCAGCGGUAGGGCAUCUUCCGCAAGGAGCAGAAGCCUAUCGGGCCAACGCCGCGUGAGUGAUAAGGAGCUUCGGAUCGUGAAACUCGGUUGUUAGGGAAGAACAAAUGUGUAAGUAACUAUGCGCGUCUUGACGGUACCUAAUCAGAAAGCCACGGCUAACUACGUG
rnacentral:rRNA from 1 species